GAUGAAGAACGUAGCAAAAUGCGAUAAGUAAUGUGAAUUGCAGAAUUCAGUGAAUCAUCGAAUCUUUGAACGCACAUUGCGCCCGCUGGUAUUCCGGCGGGCAUGCCUGUUCGAGCGUCAUUUCAACCCUCAAACCCCCGGGUUUGGUGUUGGGGAUCGGCUCUGCCUCACGGCGGUGCCGCCCCCGAAAUACAUUGGCGGUCUCGCUGCAGCCUCCAUUGCGUAGUAGCUAACACCUCGCAACUGGAACGCGGCGCGGCCAUGCCGUAAAACCCCAACUUCUGAAUGUUGACCUCGGAUCAGGUAGGAAUACCCGCUGAACUUAAGCAUAUUAAUAAGCGGAGGA
rnacentral:misc_RNA from 1 species